rnacentral:rRNA from 1 species
GCCCUARUACGGCGAGUGAAGCGGCAACAGCUCAAAUUUGAAAUCUGGAUUCCUUUACUGGGUCCCGAGUUGUAAUUUGUAGAGGGUGCUUUGGUGUUGGCGGCGGUCUAAGUUCCUUGGAACAGGACGUCACAGAGGGUGAGAAUCCCGUACGUGGUCGCACUGCCUUCGCCGUGUAAAGCCCCUUCGACGAGUCGAGUUGUUUGGGAAUGCAGCUCUAAAUGGGAGGUAAAUUUCUUCUAAAGCUAAAUACUGGCCAGAGACCGAUAGCGCACAAGUAGAGUGAUCGAAAGAUGAAAAGCACUUUGGAAAGAGAGUCAAAUAGCACGUGAAAUUGUUGAAAGGGAAGCGCUUGCAGCCAGACUUGCCUGCGGUUGCUCAGCCGGGCCCCGCGCCCGGUGCACUCUUCCGCGGGCAGGCCAGCAUCAGUUUGGGCGGCUGGAGAAUGGCCUCUGUCAUGUACUGCCCUUCGGGGUAGCCUUAUAGGGGAGUCGUAAUGCAGUCAGCCUGGACUGAGGUCCGCGCUUCGGCGAGGAUGCUGGCGUAAUGGCCGUAAGCGGCCCGUCUUGAAACACGGACCAAGGAGUCUAACAUCUAUGCGAGUGUUUGGGUGUCAAGCCCGGGCGCGCAAUGAAAGUGAACGGAGGUGGGAACCCUCUUCUGGGGGGCGCACCAUCGACCGAUCCUGAUGUCUUCGGAUGGAUUUGAGUAAGAGCAUAGCUGUUGGGACCCGAAAGAUGGUGAACUAUGCUUGAAUAGGGUGAAGCCAGAGGAAACUCUGGUGGAAGCUCGCAGCGGUUCUGACGUGCAAAUCGAUCGUCAAUUUGGGCAUAGGGGCGAAAGACUAAUCGAACUAUCUAGUAGCUGGUUCCUGCCGAAGUU